AGUGAACGCUGGCGGUAGGCCUAACACAUGCAAGUCGAACGGCAGCACAGGAGAGCUUGCUCUCCGGGUGGCGAGUGGCGGACGGGUGAGGAAUACAUCGGAAUCUACUUUUUCGUGGGGGAUAACGUAGGGAAACUUACGCUAAUACCGCAUACGACCUACGGGUGAAAGCAGGGGAUCAUCGGACCUUGCGCGAUUGAAUGAGCCGAUGUCGGAUUAGCUAGUUGGCGGGGUAAAGGCCCACCAAGGCGACGAUCCGUAGCUGGUCUGAGAGGAGGAUCAGCAACACUGGAACUGCGACACGGUCCAGACUCCUACGGGAGGCAGCAGUGGGGAAUAUUGGACAAGGGGCGCAAGCCUGAUCCAGCCAUACCGCGUGGGUGAAGAAGGCCUUCGGGUUGUAAAGCCCUUUUGUUGGGAAAGAAAUCCAGCUGGCUAAUACCCGGUUGGGAUGACGGUACCCAAAGAAUAAGCACCGGCUAACUUCGUGCCAGCCGCCGCGGUAA
rnacentral:rRNA from 1 species